rnacentral:rRNA from 1 species
UACGUAGGGGGGCUAGCGUUGUCCGGAAUCAUUGGGCGUAAAGCGCGUGUAGGCGGCCCGAUAAGUCCGCUGUGAAAGUCCAGGGCUCAACCCUGGGAUGCCGGUGGAUACUGUCGGGCUCGAGUCCGGAAGAGGCGAGUGGAAUUCCUGGUGUAGCGGUGAAAUGCGCAGAUAUCAGGAGGAACACCAAUGGCGAAGGCAGCUCGCUGGAACGUUACUGACGCUGAGACGCGAAAGCGUGGGAGCAAACAGG